ACUCUGGUGGCAGGGGGACAUCAAGCAACAAGAUCUUGGUUCCAAAAGCUACUUCCCACUGAAAGGAAGCACUGACAAACAAGAUGGUUAGGGGUGACGUAAGCAAGCCUAAGAGCUUUGUGUCUGCUGCCAGUAUCCCUGAUAAGAAUGGAUACAUUAGCUUGCAAGUAGGCGAAAGACUUGAAACUUCUUGUAGAAGCAGGACAGGUGAGACAAACAAUUGGUCUGGGGAAAUGGUUCAGCUGGUAAAGUGCUUGCCCCAUAAGUCGGAGGAUCUGAGUUCGAUCCCUAGAUGUCAUGUAAAGCCGAGUGCUUAUAAUAACAAUACUAUGCUGGG
rnacentral:lncRNA from 1 species